UGAGUGGGUGUGAACUUGGGGUUCUGUUUUUAAACCUCCUUAAAAUUUGUGAUAAUUGAAUAGAAAACUCUGUUGCCUUGAAUGGAUGUGUUUGGUUAUCAAGGAGAGAAGCUUCUCGAUCUGCUUGUUGAGUGCAGCGUGGAGGCCUGGUCCCUGGGAUAGCCCAGGGAUGAGGUGGCCUCGGCAGCAACAACAGUUUGUUAAGAAGUUCAGGCUAGCCGGCGUCUCCACUUGGGUUUCCUCUCUAGGCUUUGGGAAAAUGUUCAUGGCACUGGACGGUUGUUGACAUGUGUUGAUUCCAUCUCUCGGCAAAGCCUAACUGGUCCAGGCCCUUUUUACAAUCCAGGCACAAAACCAUCUGAAGUCAGGAUUAGACACAGAAGCCCUGAGCUGUGGGCAGGAGGCACAGUAGCAGACUGUGUAAGAACACGGGCUGUGGUGUCAGAGGAUCUCAGCUUUGAGCCCCGGGACUCCACAAAUGUUAUGCAUUAGUUGUCAUUUCAUUAUUAUUCUGAUCUUGACAUGGUUACUAAUUCUGAGAACUUGAUCAAGUCAUUCUUGGCCUUACAGAUUUAGCUUCCUCAGCUGGAACUUGGGCAUGACAAUACUCAGUUCCCAGAAUUGUCAUGAAGAAAAAAUGAGAUAAGGGAGGUGACGUUGUAGCUCAGGGAGACCAGGGGCAGGCCUGGCUUUGUGGGCAUGUGGCCUGUGCAGUUGCCACAGUAGGAGAGCUCCACGCUUGGUUUAAUGAUCUACUGUCGCCAUCUUGAAAUUCUUAAUAAUUUCUGAACAGGGGUCCUCACGUUUUCAUUUUGCACUGGGCCCCACGAAGUCUGUAGCUGCUCUGUCUGGAGAUCCCCUGGACAUGUUACAGCACCAGUCCCAGGAGGAGAAAGAUGCUCCCCAGAAGGAGCUGGCCAGGGAGGGGCUCUUCCUGGUUGGGAGAGCACCGUUUCCACAUCUGGUGUCAAAAGGAGUGAGUGAUCAUCUGGCCCUUUUUUGGGGGAACCAGGAUGUGCUCUUCCUUACCCCUGGACCUUUGCACACCCUUUCCUCUUGCCAGUAACACUUUUCCCCUGCAUGCCUGUCAAGACUGAACUCCUAGUCCUCCACAUCUUUUGCUCUUUAUGAGAAAAGACCUUUCAAACUUGCGAGCAAGUGGCAUGAUAGUAUAGCCCAGGGGACAUUUGGGAAUCUAGGCUUCCUUUAAUGCAAGAUCAAUUUGUAUCUCAUCUUUGAGGAGUGAGUAGACAUAGUGGGGAGGAAUUGGACCCGGCACCAGCCAGCCUGGGUUCACAUCCCAGCUCUGCCCCUUCCUAGCUCCAUGACUUUGGGGGAGUUUCAUAAACACUCAAUCCUUUAGUCUCCUCAUCUGUAAGAAGGAAAUAAUACUAAAAUUACCUACAUUCACAGGUCAGCUAGGAGGAGCAGAUGAACCCAUGCAGACACAGCAGCUGGAGCUAUGCCUUUGCAGAGUGGGUACUCUUGUCCAUAAGCUAGAAUUAUGAUGCUUUUCCACGCUCUGUGACCUGAUUAACUGAAAGACCUUUAGAAUUAGUAAGAACCAGUUUGCAACUGCCCCUGGGAACUUGCUAGCUGUGCGAACCCAGGCACAAGCUGUUAUAUCUUGAUCUUACCCCUUCAAUCAUAGGAAUUCUGGGAGUAAGACCUGCGAUCAGCUGCAAGAGGUAGGAUGUAAGGGAAGGAGCAUAGGUUCGGGUCUUAGAAGCCAGCACGUACAUUUCAUCUCUUCUCUUUAUCAGCUGUGUGAAAUUCCAAGUUAUGAAAACUUCCAGAACCUUAUUUUUCUCUUUUAAAAUGGGGGUAGCAGUAUCAUUUAGAGAGGUGCUCCUCCACAAAAGAACACGAGUUCCACAAGGAGAGGGGUUUGCUUGCUUUGUUCUUUGCUGCAUCCCUCGGACAGUGCCUAGCACUCAGGAAAUGCAAAAUAAAUAUUUGAAGGAAGGGAUUGUUGAGAGAAUUAAAUAGCAUGAUUUAUGUAAAGUACCUAGCAUGGGAGACAGGCCCCUACAUAGCAGACGCUCAGGAAAGCAGUGGCUGUGGAUAUUUUCAAGUCAGGUGGGUGGGAACACUGUGGGUCUAGCCAAGGGCUCCAUUCGGAGCAGGACUGCCUGUCCCUGCUCCUGCCCAGGCGUGCUGCUGGGAUUGAGAAGAGGGAUCUGCCAAAGCAAGGAUGAGCAGAGUUGCUGAAGUGAAAACCAGGUGCGUGGAUCUCUCCAGCAGAACGAGGGGAAGGAGAUGGCUGUAGGUCACGUGGCAGUUUCCACUUACGCAGCAGCAGGAAGAAUGCCCCACGACUCCCUCAGGCAGAGAUGAGGCUCUCAUCUCACUCUUUUCUAUCAGAGUAAGCUUAGAAUCGUGGUAGAGCUUAGCUUACCUGAGGAAGAUGUUUGCAUUCCAGCCAGGGAGGGGCUGGGGAAGGCUGGCAGCCACUGCAACACGCUCCACAAAAGCAAGCUCUGAUUAUCACUCCAUUUGUUUUGACUAGGCAAGUGUUAGAUCCUUAUCAAGCAGAGAGGAGCAAAUUGGUUCCAAAUUUAAAAAAUGAAAGAGAAGAAUGAUCAUUUAGAAAGCGUGUCAACAAGAGGCACUGGCCUGAUUCACCGGCAGCAUGGCCUAGCGGAGAGUAAGGUGUGGUUUGAGUUCUGAUUUCGACUCUAAGCCAGAGUAUCCUCAUAAUACAUUAGGAGAAAGUGGCUCUAGCUCAGGUGUUCUCUUUACAUUCACUGGAGAGUGUGUAUGAGGUGAGACCCCCUCAUCAAGACCUUGAAGAGAGGCUGUGAAGUUGAGUGGAAUGAACACAGGCUGUGGAAUUGGGCUGGUCUGGAUUUGAUGCAUGCUCCACUGCUUGCAGGCUGGACAAUCUGAGCCUCUCUGAGCCUCAGUUCCCUCAUCUCUAAGCAAAAGUAAUAAGAACGCCAGUGUGCAGUGAGAAUUAAGUGGACAUUACAUAUAGUCUUGCUUAAUAAAUGUUCCCUGGGUCCAUACGCCCGCAAUCCAGAAUCCCAGGUUCCACAAUCAGAUUUCAGCUCUGGCUGAUUCUAGGAAAGUCAGUGAGAGCUGCAAUAAAUGAUUGAGAGAGUCUCACCCCUGAUCGCCUCUUCUCUAGGACCUUCCUGGAGUCUCUGGUGUCUGACUCAGUUCCACAGGUUCUUGGGCGGAGGGUAGGGUGAGGGAGGGAUGGCGGGAGGCAGGCCCAUGGAUAUCUUGAUAUCAGGGGCAAGACUCUGCUGGGUUCUAAGUGCAGAUGCCCAACCACCGAGGCAGCACUUAAGGGUAAUAUAUGCCAGGAUGUCUGAAUGACAUCUUCAGCAUCCUCAGCCAGGCCUCAUCACUGCUCCGUAUAUUCAUCAUCUGCAGAGUUAUUAACACACAUUUAUUGAAGCCCGCUUUGUAACAGGCCUGUCCUGGCCCAAGAACACAAGAGGUUUAAGUCGUGGAUCCUGCCCUUAUUCUUGGGACCACAUGGAAUAAGUCAGAUAAUAUCCCCAAGUUACCUUGCUCCCCAUCCUGCAUGGCUUCCAGCCUGCUCUCUGUGCCGGACCCUUGUCCACAGGACAUAAACUAGUUCAUCCAUUCCUGUCCUAAUGUGUAAUCUCCCAAACUGGAGAUGCUUCAUGAAGUAUGGAAUAGGAGGUCUGGACGCAUAGAGUACAGGGUUUCAGAUUCCAGAUGCCUGGUGUCUCCAUUUCAAGAACCAAUAAAAGACAAAAUAGAAUUAGCCUCAUCGUCUGCCCAGAUCUCUUUUGCCAUCUCUAUGCAAGGCAUUGCUAUGAUUCUGCCAUGAAAAAUAUUUAACAAAGUCAAAAUACCAUCUGCAGAAAUUAGCAGGGGGGGAAUGAUUGGGUUUAAGUAGGAACAAGUCAUGGGUGCAUGCAUUUUGAGAGGUAGAAAAACCAAGAGCAUAAAUGUAAGAUGGAAAGAGAGAGUUGUCGGAGGGAACACAGAGGGGACAGUUAUGAGGUUGGUCUCUGGCUCACUCUUCUCCCCUCACUGAUACAAUGCACAUCUUUGGCUUUCUAUGUGGACUGGCAAGUUAAUAUUUCCAACUCAGAUACAUCCUCAGUGUUCCAUAUUUGUAUAUCCAAUUGCCUCUUAACACUUUCUCUUAGGUGUUUCAAAAUACUCCAAACUGAAGCCAUGCUCUUCAUGACUCCCUUCCUCGAGUCUGCUUCUCUUUCUGAUUUCCCUCUUUCGGUGAAGUCACCGUGAUCCAUUCACUUGCACAAAGCGCAAACUUAGGAAUCAUUUGUGACAUCUCUUUCUCCCUCCAUCCCCCAUCUCCAAUUCAUCACCAGCCUGUUGACUUUAAUUCCUAAAAGUCACUCGAGUCGAUCUACUUCUCUUCCACCUCCUGCCAAUAUGCUAGUCCAAACUGCCAUUUCUUUCCUCAAAACUCCCCACAGUCUUCUGGCUGGUCUUCUUGCAUGCAGUUUCUUCCUCACCCUGCAGCCAGAGGGAUUCUCCCCAGAUGCGUCUCUGAUCACAUCAUCCUGCCAUUGACUCUGUCCUCAUAGGGACAUACUAAAACUCUUCAGUGGCGGCUCCUUGCUCAUAUGAUAAAGAUAUGCUGUAGGGCUGGAGACAAAGUGAGCUCCCCCGAGCUGAGCACGGAAGUGGGAGUGGAGGAAGGGUCCUUUAGCAAGGCCAGAUACGAAGCUGUUACAGCACAAGGGGAAGUGGAUGCUGGUCAUGGAGAGACAGCAGACAUCCACCACAAGGACAGUCUCUCAAGGGAGCGUUUUCUCAAGGAAGAACUUUGCAAGGGAUUAACAGGAUUUCAAGACCCUGUACAGGUGGACUUAGAUAAUGGUUUCAGCAAGAGACUAAGAGACCUUAUAGGCUUAGGGAAAAGCUGACUGAGUGGAAUCAGGGCACGUAUAUCAAGUUUAGGGCAGCGUUAGUAAGACCGCACUAGUGGUGAGGCCAAGGCACCUAAUAUGCAUCUGACUGCUGAAGACUUCCAGUUCAUGGAGCUAUACAGGAGCAGGCUGGGGCUGACAGGAGUCUGGCAUGACUUGGUCAUACUGAACCUCCGUUGGCUUCUCCCUGCUCAGAAACCAUCUGUUCUAUAAUGUCUUCUAGAAUUGAACUGGGAUUUGAUGUUGUACUGCCCGAUCUCUAAUUCCUGGGAGUCGGCCUUGAAUCUUUGUUCUUGCCUGAAAAUGAGCUCAAUUGCUCAUCGCCAGUCUCCUGGUGUCUCUCUCACCUACCUACCCUGAAGAUUUCUUCUUUCUUUCUUGAAGUUGAACUUAUAUUUCAUAAUAGGUGCCUCUGUUUAAUCCACCGUUUGAAGUGCUGGAGGAGCAAGGAAGGCCAGACAGAGUUUCUUCCCUUUCAGCCCAUCUUCUGUGUCUCUCUAGAGACAUUGAAAAAAAAAAAAAAGCCAGCUCUCUGUUUAAAAGCCUCCAAUUUUCUGCAGACUAAAGUUCAACCACCCUAAUGUGGCACAUGGAAUUCUUUGUAACACAGCCUGCAUCUUGUGGGGUUUCUUGGUUACAGGCACAGUAACUAUCUCUGAAUGGUGCAAGCCUUAGAAAGCUCAUGGAAUGGAAGGCAUAGCUGAUCAAAGAAGCCUAAGAAAGGACUGGAACCAGGAGACCUCCAAUAAUCCAGAGAAUAGGACUUAAGCGACAGUCUCUUCAAGACCCUGUGGCUGGUACAAACCAGCUCCAAGACAUUUCCCUCAGCCCCUCCGUUCAUGAUUUAAAUUCCUAAGAACCACCUCCCACCACCAUUGUGUAGCUUCUUAGAGGAAAUACCAACCAAAGUGUCCCACGUCCCUUGGGUAAGGAGCAGUGACCUAAGCUCAGCCGGCUUGAUUGAGGAGGGCAGCGCCAUUCUUAAGCCCAUGCAGAAAACAUCCCUGCACUGAGUCAUCCACCCUAGAAGUCUCCACUCUAGUCCUUCUCCCAUCACGUCUUCCCACGGGAUAAGGAGGCCACAGGCCAAGGGCACUUGCCCACCUCAACCUGCACCCUCCCUUCUGGACCAUUCUCUUGGUCAUGGAGACCCUGGACUUCCCUGCCCAAGUUGGCUCUUCCCUGGAUCUGUCCUCCCGAGGGCACAUGGCACAUGAAAGCCAGAGGGGAUGUAAAGACUGCUGUCCACCCAUUUUCACUGUGCAGGUUAUGAUGUACUCACACAUGUACAAAAAGCCACUACAGUGAUGGGCAGAGCUGGGAGUAGGAAGAGAAGUGGGGAACAGGCGGAGGGUAGGGAUCCGGGAGCCAUAAGCCAGGAGCCAGCUCUCCCCAUGCUGCUAUAUUCUGGCAAGAAAAUCUGAGAAGUCAGAGGAUUCCAAAUUUGAACUUGGCCUUCCGGGUCAUUUUGAAGAUAGGAGGAUAGUACAUAUUUUAAAUGACACUUUAAUAGAUUGCUUUAUCACUUUCAAAUCCCUGGGCAUGUGGUAUAUGGCCCUUCAUUUGUACUCUUCCUCUGGGUCCUGCAAGGGUAUAGGCAGGUCGGUCAAAGAGCAUCAGGAUGCUGCUACCCGAGGAAGAGGCCAGUGAUGUCCACGUGCUGUUGAGAUUCCGUGUUCCCACCCCUGUGUGUAGUGACCCAGCGCCCCGUGACUCAGCUGCCCAGGCCCUGAGCAGACCCUGCAAAUGCCGGAGGCUCCCAACUGUCUCCCUGCCUCCACGUUCGCCCCCUGGAGUCUUCUCAGUCGAGCAUCCAAAGGUAUCUUUGAAACAUAUAACGAAUCAAGCCACUUCCCAGCCUCCAGUGACCGCUCCCCACCCCCACCUACCCCGCCCAGAGGAAAAGUUAAAAUCUUUUCCACAUUUCACAAAGCUUUGCACGACACCUCCCAGCUUCCAUCCACCGUCUCUCUGUCCUCUUGCUGACCCACUCCAGCCGUGCUGUCCUUCUGGUGGUUGCUGGGACACGUCAAGCUCAGCCCUGCAUGGGGUCCUCUGCACCUGCUGUCCUUGUGGCUGGAACAUUCUUCCCUUGGUUGUCACCAUGGCUAGCUCUUUCAGCUCCUUCAGCUCUCUGUUUAUGCUACUUCCUAGCACAAUCUUCUCUGGUGACCCCAACUAAAGUAGGGGACCCCGUUCCCACCGCAGCAUCUCCCACCUCCUUUCCCUGCAUUAUUCUCCGCACAGCACUCCCCGUCACACUAUGCAUCUUGAUUGUUUCUUGCAUGUUAUCUAUCUAGACAGACUAGAAGAGAAGCAACGUGCGGGCAGGGACCUUUGUCUGUCUGUUCCCUGCUGUCUCUCCAGCACCUGAAACACUCCUGAGCUCAGAGGUGACACUCCACAAAUGUUUGUUGAGUGAAUAAUGGGAUGAAUGAAUGAAAGCAUACAUGCCAUGCCCCUGAGCCCCUGCAUAUGGUCCCCUCUCUUUCUGGGAUGCCACCAUCAUCUUCUCCUUCAAGGCCUAGCUCAGCAUUACCCUAUCUCUGCGGCACGUCCUCCUCUCCAUCCCACCCCAGCAGCAUUGUUUUUGGUUCCCCCAUCAUACUUUACACAUACUUCUCUAAUAAUACUCACUACAUUCAAUUAUUAUCUGGUGGUUUUUUCUUUUAAAAGAUGUACAUAAGCAGUACAUGAAUACAUUCACUUUAUUAAAUAUUCAAACAAUAUAGUAAGUGAAAGAUCUCCUCUAGGCUACUCUCAAAAUCUAACUUUCCUUUCCAGAAGUAAUCUUGUCUGGGGAUUUACAUACACAUACAUGGAUAAAAAAGUAAAGUUUUGUUUUGAGUGUGCAUGUGUGUGCUUUAUUAUACCUAUGUUCUGGCAUUUUCUAUGAUUUGCAUCUUUGACACAGAGUACUUUGUGUGAUUGUCCGUUUUGUACCGGUAUGCAUUUAAAUCACUUCAAAAAAUACUUUAGCAUUGAAUUAGAUAGAAUGGAGGCAAGAAGAUUUAGUUGGCCAUUCCCCAUCUUAUGGGUAUUUAGAUGGUUCACAUUGCUGCAGCCAUGCCACAGUGAAAGUUCCUACACAGGUCUGUUAGAGCAUAUGUGUUUCUCCAGACUACAUACCUAGAAGGGAAAUAGAGCAUUUGAAAAGUGUGCAGAUUUUAACCUGCCAAUUCACCCUUUAAAAAGCCUGUAAAAAUUAUGCUUCUGUGAAGGUGGGAUAUUUUUAAUAUUUGACUAUUUGCUGGGAGAAAAUGUCUCAUUCGAGUUUUGUUUUUCAUUUCCCUGAUUAUUGCUGAAGUUUACAUGUUUGUCUAUAUUUAUUAGAAUUUAGUUUCUCUUGUGACUCGUUUUUCCAUCUUCUUGGCCCGUUUUUCUUUUCUCUUGCUGUCACUAUCUUACGUGCCUGUUUGUUUUACUUGACUGUGAGCUCCUUCAGGUGGUCAUCACAUCUUAUUUAUCAAGGUUUCCCCUUCCAGAGCACACAGACAGUGCUUAAUGAAUGUAUAUCCAAUUGCAUUAUUGAAGCCAUAGGCAUUACCCUCCAUCAUGGUUAUCAUCAUUAUCAUCCUCCUCAUCACCGCCAGUACCAUUUAUUUAGUCUCACAGGAUGCUAAGCCCUGUCUCGGGAGGUGUGCGUAUAUAGUCUCUCAUCUUCCUAAUACCUCGCCCAACAAAGUGACUAUUGGUAGCUCUGUUUUACAGAUAAAGCAGUUGAGACUCACGCAAGUUACACGGGCUGCCCAAGGACACUCAGCCGGAUUAUGAAGGGAGGGAUUAUGGAGCAGAGUCUUUUCAGCCUGGUUCCAAAGUAUGUGCAGUCUCCCUUAGAGCAAUUGGCCUCUUCCUGGCCACGCAUUAGAAUCACCUGAACAGGCUUUUAAAUGAUAGCUAUAUCCAGUCCUACCCCAGGCCAAUUGAUUCAGAAACUCUGGGACUAGGUCUGGGGAAGUGGUGUUAUAAAAAUCCCUACAUGAUUUUGAUGUGCAGAAAUGGUUGAAAACCUUUGGUCUACAUUGGGAGUGAACCAGCUUUUUUUGUAAAGUGCCAGAUAGUAAAUAUUUUAGACUUUGCCUGCCAUACAGUCUCUGUGGCAACUAUCCACCUUUGCUGUUGUAGGGUCAAAACAGCCAAAGACAAAAAUGAACGAACAUGACUGUGUUCCAAUUAAAACCCAUUUACAAAAACAAAUGGCAGCCAAAUUCGGUCCAUGGGCUGUAGUUUGUGGACCCCUAGUCUAUAUCAUAAUACUUCGAAGAUCUUGGAAUUUCGGAUUGUCCCAGUCAAACCACGACAUCUGGUCACAUUAAUUACCUUGCUAAGUCUCAAGGACAGUGGCAUGAGAAUCCUUGCCCCACCUCAAGAGAUUCUGCUUCAGUAGGUUGGGGCCUGGGCGUCUGCAUUUCAACAAGGGAUGCAGCUGAUUCUGAUGUAAGCAGACUUCGUGGGUCCUUACUGCAAGAAUCACUGGGCUACCGAAGCAUAAUGUUCUUGGCAAGUAGCGAAAGCUUGGCUGGAGAAGCAGAACUGGUUCUUAUCCAAAAAUUCUUUAAGCUCAUGGAUAGACAUUUUGUGCGUCCCUGCCUGCCUUAUGUUCCAGCAUCCUGCCUCCAAGGUUCUGGAACCUUUGGUGCCCCAGCAUCACAUCUUCCCAGUCUGCACGUUGGCAGAGAAGGAAGCCGUCCUGCCUCUUCAACUCUGAAAUUAGUAGAAGACCAAAGUCCUUGUAUAUUUCAAAAUAUUGAAGAAGAAAGUGACUGUUUAACCACCUACGUGAUAAAACUGAUACUGGCAUUUAUCAGUCUGUGUGUGUGUGUGUGUGUGUGUGUUUUAAUAGUUCAGUAGUUAGAAAAUGGAGCCUCCAUUUCCCCCUCAUCCACUUUGAAGCUAUGUAGUGGGUGAAUGCCAUCAUUUCUGUUUCCAACCUCUUUAGCAUCCAUUAUUUCUCUGUUGUCCACAUCUAAUAGUCUGGAUCUUUUUAGUUGUUGAUGGCGCAGCGAUUACUGGGGCUGCUGCUUUAGGAUGACAUCCAAAUGCCUCUGAACAGUUGAAUUUACUUACUGCUUCCCUCCUGAAAGCUUUUUAGCAUGAUCCAGCUGGGGUGGUUUCAUCGGGAAAACCAUUAUUUGUGGCUCUCUUUUUUUGAGGAGUAGAAAUAAAUUUCCCAAAAGAUGAAAGUGGACGCUGUUCAUUGUGGAUCUGCAAUCUUACUUUUGCUUCUCUCUCCUUCUUACAUUUCAUUUGCACAGUUUUUCUCAGGAAUGACUUCUUUCUGGGGAAAUGGAAUGUUCUAACUUGCACGAUUGAGUCAAAUCAAUGUUUAGAGUGGUUUGGACUUUUAAGCCUUUUGCUGGAUUUUGGCAGUAUCAUUUUAUACUGUAAAACCCCUUUUUCCCAGGUAACCUAUAAUAUUCAUAUUGAACAUUAUUCACAGCUUUCUAACACCCCCUCAUUUCACUUAGCUAUCAGCUAAGCAAAUAGUGCUCAAGAGUUAAAAAUAUGCUAUUCUUCCUCUACAGCACAUGCACUUUUAUGUGAAAGGGGAACAGUUCUGUGUUCCUAAUCUAUAUACAUAUCUAUCUGUGCAUGUAGUAGCUUUCAACACUGUAAUUAGACACAGAAACCACACCGUGCCAACACAGUGCACACAUGCAGGUUUAUAGAGCAGCUGUGACAAAUAUAUAAUAUGGUAAAACACCUUUUCACCAGCUGGGACAAAUUCUAGAGUAUACAAGGAGAGUUUCAAAUGAAAAUUAGGUAGAAGAAUCUGAACUAUUUCAUGCAGGAGGACUGCACAGAUGAAAAUAUCUAGGACGCCUCUCUGGAAGAGUGUAUUUGAGAGGCAGUGUGCAAUACUGGAAGGCUGAUAGCUCAAGGAGUCCAAUCCUCUUGGAUUUAAAUCCCAGCCAAGGUGCUGUGUGAUCUUGGGCAAGUUGCUUUACCUCUCUGAGACUCAAGUACCCUGUUACAUCACAGAGAUAGUAGCAGCACGUUUACCUCAUGGGGCUGGUGUGAGGAUUAAGUGAGGUAACAAAUGUCAGGCUGCAGACAUACUUUCAUCAUCUGAGGAUCGGAACCACAGUGUGGUGAUGAAAAUGAAAGGAGAUAUGUCAUCAUUACAACAGAAAUCUCUGGAAUAUGCCCCUCCCUGCCACACACAGAAAAUAUGAGUCUCUUUUGUGAACUGUCAAUGUUAAUAGCAUCCACAUUUACUCAGCUACCCUCAUAAAAAAAUUAGGAGCUACACUUAAAUGGUUUCUCUCUCCUCCUACCUGUCCCCUUCUUCUCAUGCCUGAUCCCCCAUGGUCACUUGGUACCAAAUUGUGCCAUUCAGCCUCCGAAAUAACUUUCUAAUUCGGUCUCCUCAGCUUCAUCCUCCCUGUCACUGCCUCAGUUCAGACCCUUAUUGUCUUUUGUCUGGAUUAAUGCAAGAACCUCUUAACCAAUUUCAGUAUCUUCGGCUUGGAUCCUCCAUGAUCCAUUAGUAGCCCCAUUUUACAGAUUAGAAAAUUGAGACAGAGAGAGGUUCAAUCAAGAGCCCCAAAUCACACAGCUAGUAAGUGGUGUUAUAGGGAUUCCAACCUCAGCAGCCUGGCUCUAGGAUCUCUGCCCUUUCCUACCUUGGAGCUUGGUGCAGUGCAUUAUUUGGUUGUGGAAAUCGGCAGUACCUCCUACGUCUGGUAAUUGCCUCGAGUGAGUCCUGUUUCCCCCUCACCAGAUGUUUCCUUAGAGCUGCUCUAACUGAUACAUCGAUCCUGCAGGAGCUCCAAGGAGCAGCCAAGCCAUUCUGCAGGAAGAGAGUGGGUGAAGGAGGAACAGGCAGAAAUGUACAAAUAAGUUCUGGUGGGAGACCAUCAGUGCAUCGUGGAUGCUGUCCAGAGGCUGACGUGGGCCACGUAUAGAAAGAGGAGGCUGAACUAGGGAUGGAGAAAGUAGGGAUUCAGGUCCAUUUCAGCAUUUCAGGAGUCUGGUCCAGUGGGUGGGGCCUGGCAUGAAGAACUGCCAGGGGGGAUGAUGCUGGGAUUCUGGCAGUAACAGAGGCUGCUGGUUUAGAGCAGGAUCGCAGGCAGACGUGAUGCUGUGGUACCACAGGGACAGAUCAUCCAUGUUCCCGUGAAGCCACAGCCACUCUGAAGCCGGGGCCAGGGCUUUCCCACGCCCUGUGGUCGUAGGCACUAGAGUGGCAGGAAAAGUAAACUGAGAAACUACAAGUUUCUCCUUGUAGAAACCUUACUCAUUCUUAAAACUCACUUAAAAAUUAAUAUUUAUCUAAGGAAUCCCUGCUUGUGCCUUUAAAAUCAAAUAGUACUGAAGGCUUUAUAAAGAACCGUGACAGGCCCUCCCCAACCUCACAACCCCAGUCCUUUCUAUCCCCCCAGUUCCAUUCCCCAUGGAAACCACUUUAGCCAUUUCUAUCAUAGCUGUUCUUGUGUUUACCUCCAUUUAUAUAACUAGUACGAAUACUUGUAUUUAAAAGUAAUUUUAAAAUAUUAGAUACUAACUUCUUGCCAUGGUAGAUAAAAUUUGAGUAGGUAAAAUUGCAGGUGGAUGAAAUUUGGUCGACACCCCAUUCCCCUCUUCACUCUUCUCAGUCUGUCCUCACUUAAAUCUUUAUUCAUGCAAAGUUCAUCUUGGCAUGGAAGGUGACCCCUUUCCUGGAACGUGUUCAGAGACUGCUCCUCCCCUGCUCCCACAUAGCUGUGUAUCUCUCUUAGUGCACUGUUCCCCUUGCCCUUCCACGAUGAGGUUAUCUAUAGAACAGGUCACACAACUGUGGUCUUUACUGCUGUGUGCCCGAUAUUGGUAAACCCUGCUCUUCUUCCCUGUCCCUAGCCAUCUCUAUAGCUCUCUGCUUUGCCAGUCUCUGGGUGGGGGGAAACCAAAGUGGGUACUUCAUGUGUGCCCUGAAAGGCUGGGACGCUGGUCGUUCACUCUGCUCUCUCUUUCCCUGAAAGGAGAGCUCUUUCUAGCUGAGGAGUUCCCUCUUAGCACUGAGUAAUGCCAGCUUAAAGGACGGGGUGAUGCAGGCAAAAGGAAGCUGCUGUUCUUUCUCUUUAUGUGUGGUUAUCCUCACAUUUUUUGUUCUGCUAUGUUGCUAAAGUUUCUUAAGAGGGCUUUAGAGCUCUCCCAGAACUCUUUUUGAUCAUGGGUAGGUAGCAGUCUAAUUGUUGAUCUUUCUGGGAGGACAGAGGCUAAGCUCUCCUACUCCCCCAUCUUGGUGACAUCACUCACUAACACAUCGUUAAGGAUUUUUCAUUUAUAUUCAUGAGGGAUAGUGGUCUUGUCUUUGCAUGUGAUGUCUUCACUUGCCAUUGAAAUCAAGGUAACUCUGGCCUAAUAGAAUGAUGUGAGACCAGCUCUCUCCUUCGAUAUUUUCUGAAAUAGAUGGUGGGAGAUUGGGAUUAUUUGCUCCAUUAAUAGUCAAUGGAAUUCACCAGUUGAGUCAUCCGAAUCUGGGCUUUUCUUCCCUGAAAGGGUUUUAAUUACUAAUUUAAUUUUCUUGUUUGUUACAGAUCUAUGGAGAUUUUCUAUUUCUCUUUGAGUCAGUUUUGGAAAUUUGGAUCUAAGAAUUUGCCAAUAUCUUAUAAGUUGUCUAAUUUGUGGCAUAAAGUUGUUCAUAAUAUUCUCUUAUAAUCCUUUAAUUUCUCUGUGGGUGGCCCUUUAUAAUUUCUGAUAUUGGUAAAUUCUAUCUUCUCUCUUCCUUGGGGAUGCUAGCUAAGGGAUAGUCAACUUUAUCUGGUAAACAGCCAAUUUCUGGUUUUAUUGAUUUUUGUGUUUUGUAUUUCACAGACAUGUGUUCUAAUCUUUUGUAUUUCCUUUCUUUUGCUUGUUUUCAGUUUGGUUUAUUUUCCUUUCUUUCCUUUCUUAGGGUGGGAACUUAAAUUAUUGAUUUGAGACUUUCCUCUCUUCCACUAUAGGUGUUUAAUACUAUAAAUUUCUCUUUAAGUACUGCUUUAGGCACAUCCCAUAGACUUUGAUAUUCUAUUUUUUAAAUUUUCAUUCACUUCAAAGUACUUUCAAAUUUUGUUCCCAAUUUAUUCUUUGACUCAUGUGUUAUUCAGAUGGAUGUCAUUUAAGUUCCAAAUGUUUGUGGAUAUCCCAGAUAUAUUCCAUUCUUGAUAGCUCACAUUCCAUUGUGGUUGGAGAACAUAUUUUAUAUUAUUUCAUUCUUGCUAAAUCUGUUGAAUUUAUUUUAUGGCUGAGUACACGGUCUAUCCUGAAGCAUGUUCCAUGUGCUAUUGAAGAGAAUGUGUAUUUUGUAGUCAUUGAGUGCAGUGAUCUAUACACGUCACUUAAUUUAAUUUGGUUGAUAGUGCUGGUCAAGUCUUUUAUAACCUUGCUGAUUGUCUUUCCUCUUUUUAAUCCAUUAUGGACAGGAGGCAUUUGAAAUUUCCAAGUAUUGUUGUUGAAUUGUCUCUUUCUCCUUUCAUUUCUGUCAAAUUUUACUUCACGUAUCUUGAAGCUCUGUUGUUACAUUUGUAAGCAUUGAUAAUUUUUAUAUCUUUCUGAUGUAUUGACAUUUUGUCAUUUGGAUAUGUCCCUCUUUGCUUCUAAUAAUAUUUCUUGUUUUAAAGUCUGCAUUGUCCAGUAUUAAUACAACCCUCUAGCAAUCUUUUGGUAACUAUUUGUAUGAUGUGUCUUUUCCAUCCUUCUAGUUUCAACUUCUGUUUGUCUUUUAAUCUAAGAUGUGUCUUUUGUAGAUCACAUAUAGUUGGAUCUUGCUUUAUUAUUCAUUUUCCCAAUCUUUGUCUUCUAAUUGGUUUUCUUUAGACCAUUCACAUUUAGUGCAGUUAUUGAUAGGAUCAGAGUUACAUUUGCCAUUUUGCUAUUUGUUUUCUAUGUCUUCAGGCUUUUUUGUUCUCUGUCCUUCCUUUAUUAACUUCUUUUGUGCUAAAUAAAUCUUUCAGUACAUCAUUUUAAUUCCUCUAUUGAACAUUUUUUACUGUUUUUGAGCUAUUUUCCUAGUGUCUGUGCUAGGGAUUCCAAUAUGCAUUUUAACUGACUAUGGUCUAUUUCAAACGAAUAUUAACUUAAUUCCUAUGAAAUAUAGAAUGUUUCCUCCAAUGUAACUCUAUUACUUUCCCCUCUUGUGCUAUUAUUUUUAUAUAUAUUAUAUCUAUAUAUGUUACCAAACCAAUACCACAAUGUUACAAUUAUUUCUUUGUACAAUCUCAUGUCCUUUAAAGAAUUUAACAGAAGAAAUGAGAAAAUAUAUUUAUAGAUUCUUUUUUUUAAAACCCAGAAAUUUAUUACUUCUAGCUCUCUUAAUUUCUUCCAGCUGAUUCGAGGUACUGUCUGAUGUCAUUUUCUUCCAGCCCAAAGAAUUUCCUUUAGUAUUUCUCACAAUUCAGUUCUGAUAUCAAGAAAUUCUUCCAGUCUUUUUAAAUUUAAGAAUGUCCUUAUUUCACCUUUAUAAUUAGUGGAUAGUCUUGCUGGAUAAAAAAAUUCUUCGUUACCAUUUUUUCUUUCAGUAUUUUGAAUAUGCCAUUUCUCUGCCUUCUAGGGUCUAUCUUCUCUGAUGAGCAGUUAGAUAUUAUUUAUGUUGAUGCUCUCCUGUACAUGUUCAGUUGUUUUUCUCUUUCUUCUUUUAAGAUUUUUUCUUUGUGUGUGGCUUCCAACAGUUUGACUAUGAUGUGUCUAGCAGAGUUCAGGCUUAACCCUUAACCUCUUCAGGCUCGGAGGACCCUGGGCAGGAGAGAUUUAAGAACACCGUCCCCCCGCUUUCGCGGAAAGGCCAAGAGUGACUUGAAAUGUAGACGCGGAGGCCUAUGGGAAAUGCAGUUUUAAAUAGGAUCCAAGAAUGAUGAUCUGUGAAGAGUUUUCCAAGGUCACCUACUUCUAACUCUUUUGAAAGAUUUAAAGACAUGGGGCCUGAAAAUUUCAGUGACUUGUCCAGGGAAACGCAGUUUGUGACAGUUCACUCUCUCACAGCUGAACCACAGUCCUCUGUACUCGCCCAGGAGCCACAGAAAGUGAACAUCCCUCAGGUGAGCUCUUUAUUCAUUCCCCACUUUAUGUUGUAAUGGAUUUAUAAGGUUUAGCAGGAUCCAUGCAUUAAAGGAAAAGGAGAAGUAGAAAUAGUAGAAAUCAAGUCAGUCUUGAGGAAAAAUAUACCGUGUUUUACUAUUAAUUGUGAUGUUGGCUGUUAGCUUUGAGUGGGUAACCUUGUCAGGGUAAGUAGUUUCCCACUAAGCUACCUGUUUCAAUCUCUUUACUUGUGAUUGGGCUAUUCAGAUUCUCUGUUUCUUCUUGAUUCAGUUUUGGGAAGUUGUAUGAGUCUUAGAAUUUAUCUGUUUCUUCUAGAUUGUCCAGUUUGUUGCUAUAUAGUUUUUCAUAGUAUUCUCUUAUAAUCCUUUAUAUUUCUGUGGUAUCUGUUGUAAUUUCUCCCCUUUCAUUUCUAAUUUUAUUUAUUUGAGCCUUCUCUCUUUUUUUCUUAGAGAGUCAGGCUAAGGGUUUGUCAAUUUUGCAUAUCUUCUCAAAGAACCAGCUCUUUGUUUCACUGAUCUUUUCUACUGUUCUUUUUUCUUUUUUGGUUUCAAUUUCAUUUAUUUCUGCUCUGAUUUUUAUUAUUUCCCUCCUUCGGCUGACUUUGGGCUUUGUUGGUUCUUCAUUUUCUAACUGUAUUUUAAGAUUGCUUAUUUGAGAUCUUUCUUGUUUUUUAAGCUGGCCCUGUAUUGCUAUGAAUUUCCCUCAUAGGACCACUUUUUCUGCAUCCCAUAUGAGUUGGUGUGGUGUAUUUUCAUUUUCAUUUGUCUCCAGAUAUUUUUUGAUUUCUCUUUUAAUUUCUUCAAUGAUCCAUUGGUUGUUCAGUAGCAUGUUGUUUAAUCUCCACAUAUUUGUCACUUUCCCAGCUUUUUUCCUGUAGCUGAUUUCUAGUCUCAUAGCAUUUUGGUCAGAAAAGAUGCUUGAUGUGAUUUCAAUCUUCUUAAAUUUAUUGAGGCCUGUCUUGUUUCGAAACAUAUGGUCUGUCCUUUGAAUGCUCCAUGUGCACUUGAGAAGAAUGUGUAUUCUGCUAUUUUUGGACAGAAUGUUCCAUAUAUAUCUAUUAAGUCCAUCUCGUCUACUUUUUCAUUUAAUUCCACUAUUUCCUUGUUAACUUUCUGUCUGGAUGAUCUAUCCAUCGAUGUAAGUAGACUGUUGGGGCCCCCUGCUAUUAUUAUGUUGUUUUUAAUAUCUCUUUUUAGGUCUGUUAAUAGUUGCUUUAUGUACUUUGGUACUCCUUUGUUGGGUACACGUAUAUUUAUAAGUGUUAUGUCUUCUUGUUGCAGUGUCCCUUUUAUCAUUAUAUACUGCCCUUCUUUGUCUCUCAUUGCCUUUUUUAUCUUGAGGUCUACUGUGUCUGAUAUAAGUAUUGCAAUAACUGCUUUCUUUU
ensembl:lncRNA